UACGUAGGGUGCAAGCGUUAAUCGGAAUUACUGGGCGUAAAGCGUGCGCAGGCGGUUUUGUAAGUCUGUCGUGAAAGCCCCGGGCUCAACCUGGGAAUUGCGAUGGAGACUGCAAGGCUUGAAUCUGGCAGAGGGGGGUAGAAUUCCACGUGUAGCAGUGAAAUGCGUAGAGAUGUGGAGGAACACCGAUGGCGAAGGCAGCCCCCUGGGUCAAGAUUGACGCUCAUGCACGAAAGCAUGGGGAGCAAACAGG
rnacentral:rRNA from 1 species